rnacentral:rRNA from 1 species
AUUGAACGCUGGCGGCAUGCUUUACACAUGCAAGUCGAACGGUAACAGGUUAAGCUGACGAGUGGCGAACGGGUGAGUAAUGCAUCGGAACGUGCCCGAUCGUGGGGGAUAACACUUCGAAAGAAGUGCUAAUACCGCAUACGAUCUGAGGAUGAAAGCGGGGGACCGUAAGGCCUCGCGCGAUCGGAGCGGCCGAUGUCAGAUUAGGUAGUUGGUGGGGUAAAGGCUCACCAAGCCGACGAUCUGUAGCUGGUCUGAGAGGACGACCAGCCACACUGGGACCGAGACACGGCCCAGACUCCUACGGGAGGCAGCAGUGGGGAAUUUUGGACAAUGGGCGCAAGCCUGAUCCAGCAAUGCCGCGUGCAGGAAGAAGGCCUUCGGGUUGUAAACUGCUUUUGUACGGAGCGAAAAGGCUCCCUCUAAUACAGGGGGCUCAUGACGGUACCGUAAGAAUAAGCACCGGCUAACUACGUGCCAGCCGCCGCAGUAA